rnacentral:rRNA from 1 species
AUUGAACGCUGGCGGCAGGCCUAACCCAUGCAAGUCGAACGAGUGGCGGACGGGUGAGUAAUGUCUGGGAAACUGCCUGAUGGAGGGGGAUAACUACUGGAAACGGUAGCUAAUACCGCAUACCAUCAGAUGUGCCCAGAUGGGAUUAGCUGGUUGGUGGGGUAACGGCUCACCACGGCGACGAUCCCUAGCUGGUCUGAGAGGAGGACCAGCCACACUGGAACUGAGACACGGUCCAGACUCCUACGGGAGGCAGCAGUGGGGAAUAUUGCACAAUGGGCGCAAGCCUGAUGCAGCCAUGCUGCGUGUAUGAAGAAGGCCUGCGGGUUGUAAAGUACUUUCAGCGGGGAGGCGUUACCCGCAGAAGAAGCACCGGCUAACUCCGUGCCAGCCGCCGCGGUAAUAC